UGAUUGUAAGAAGAAUGCGGGAACUGACUAAAGAAGGACUCCAGUGGACUGACAAAAGAGUCAGUAUCAUAAAUGAGAUUUUGGCAUCUAUGGAUAUUGUAAAAUGUUAUGCAUGGGAGAAGAGCUUCGAGUCUCGAAUUCAAGGAAUUAGAAAUGAAGAGCUCUCAUGGUUUCGUAAAGCACAGUUACUAUCGGCAUUCAAUAGUUUUAUACUAAACAGCAUUCCAGUAGUU